AUGUGCUGUCGGUCCCUCUCGGCUUGCUUUUGCUUUUCCAACUCCAAGAGCCGUCUUCUCUCCAUCUCUUUGAUUUGCUCCAAUUCCACUUUCCUCUGCCUUUCCUUCUCCACUUCCCGUUGCCUCAGCCUCUGGUUUUCUAAUUCCCGUCUCUCAUUAUCGAGUUGUCUCUGUCUCUCCCUUUCUAAAUCUCUCUGUCUCUGUCUCUCCAGCUCUCUCUGCUUUUCUCUCUCGACCUCUCGCCGAUGCUCCUUUUCCAUCUCCUUUUGUCUUUCCCUUUCUUUAACAAGCUCUUUCAUUCUUAAAAGCUCCUGUUCUAAUGCCAUCUGUUUCAUUUUCUCGGCCUCCCUCUCCGUCUUCUCUCUUAUUCUCUGCGUCUCGAGCGCCAUGAGCUGCUGUGUCUCCUUUUCCUUCUGCAUCUGCUUUUCAAACUCUAAUAGUUGUAGUCUUUCCUGCUCUUUAAUUCUCCUCUGGUUCUCCCUUUGCACUUCCAGCAACAGUUUUUCCUUGUCCAGCUCACUUUGCCUCUCUUCCUCCCUUUGUCUUUGCCUCUCCUGUUCCCGCUGCCUCUCCUGUUCCCGCUGUCUCUCCCUUUCCUGCUCUUGCAGUUUCUCCCUCUCCAUCAUUCUCUGUCUCUCCAUUUUCUGUCGUUUUUCUUUCUCAUGUUGUAGCUGCCGCUCCUUUUCGAUCUCCCUCAGUCUCUCCAGCUCCUGCAGUUUCUGCCACUGUUCAAGCUCCAACUGUUUCUGCCUUUCCAGUGCACGUUGUUGCUCCUCGAACUCCCGUUUCUCCUUCUCAAAAGCUUUCUGUCUUUGCCUUUCAAAUUCUCUUUGCAUUUCCCUCUCCUUCAUUUGUGCAAACUCCAAACGUGAUUCCUGGUCCGCUUCCAGCAGCCUCUGUUUUUCCCUCAGAAAAAGCUCGUUCAUUUUUGCCAUGUGCCGUUCCGUCUCUUUCUGUAGUUGUCGUCGCUUUUCCUCCUGCAUGAUUUCCUCUGCUGCCGGUCCGUCCAAAGUGGAUCUUAUCCCUCUUUGGGAAAUGUGGUCCCUCAUCAUCAAGUCCUCAACCUGA
ensembl:lncRNA